ensembl:lincRNA Gm15671 predicted gene 15671
UGCCCUCCUGCAGUGACAAAACUCCUCUACCAAGAUGUCACCAUAUGAACAUACCCUGAAAGCACAGCUCUCCCUAGGACAAAUUCCUCAUGUGGCUGGACUUGUAAGAAUUAAUUUACACAAACAUCAAGAUUGAUGAUGUUCCUAGCUUCAUUGGAGGUAACACAAGAGAAAGUUCCCAGCUGGCAAUUGUGAAUAUGGGCACUGGCAAGAACAUGGACAUGAACAGAAAGAAGGAGGUUUGAGAGUGUUGCUGCUGCUGCUGGCUACACUGCUGCUUUUGGCCCUUGGUGUCAACUGAUGUGGACAGUUAUUUAGGAGGCAUGGUCACCAGUGGUCACUUAUGAGUGUACUUAUCCAAUAGCUUCUCCUGCCUAGACACUAGAUGUUUUUCCCAACAUUUGCUUCUGACUCUGCUUCCUUUACCUGUGUCUUUUCCUUUUGGGAAGCAAUUUUCAGACUGUGAAUCAUUUAUUGACCCCUUUCGAGUUGCAUUGAAAUUUUAUGGACUGGUCUCAUAUUGUAUCACCUAGACCUACAUCUGUAAUUGAAAGAAGAAUUCAUUGAAGAGGGUUUU